CGCUGGCGGCGUGCUUAACACAUGCAAGUCGAACGAUGAAGCCCUGCUUGCAGGGUGGAUUAGUGGCGAACGGGUGAGUAACACGUGGGUGAUCUGCCCUGCACUUCGGGAUAAGCCUGGGAAACUGGGUCUAAUACCGGAUAUGACCCUCCUUUAGUGUGGGGGGUGGAAAGCUUUAGCGGUGUGGGAUGAGCCUGCGGCCUAUCAGCUUGUUGGUGGGGUAAUGGCCUACCAAGGCGUCGACGGGUAGCCGGCCUGAGAGGGUGAUCGGCCACAUUGGGACUGAGACACGGCCCAGACUCCUACGGGAGGCAGCAGUAGGGAAUAUUGCACAAUGGGCGAAAGCCUGAUGCAGCGACGCCGCGUGGGGGAUGAAGGCCUUCGGGUUGUAAACUCCUUUCGCUAGGGACGAAGAUGUAUUUUGACGGUACCUGGAGAAGAAGCACCGGCUAACUACGUGCCAGCAGCCGCGGUAAUACGUAGGGUGCGAGCGUUGUCCGGAAUUACUGGGCGUAAAGAGCUCGUAGGUGGUUUGUCACGUCGUCUGUGAAAUCCCGGGGCUUAACUUCGGGCGUGCAGGCGAUACGGGCAUAACUUGAGUGCUGUAGGGGAGACUGGAAUUCCUGGUGUAGCGGUGAAAUGCGCAGAUAUCAGGAGGAACACCAAUGGCGAAGGCAGGUCUCUGGGCAGUAACUGACGCUGAGGAGCGAAAGCAUGGGUAGCGAACAGGAUUAGAUACCCUGGUAGUCC
rnacentral:rRNA from 1 species